CAAUGAUGCGUAUAGAACGAUAGCAUAUUUCCAAAAUUUUCCGUACUUGUUUGGCUCCAAGGUAAUUUCAUAGUUCUGCAGGAAAGUAGCAAAUUCAAUAAUUAACACAAUUCUAGAGCCAAAAUAUGUAGUGCCAUGUCCUCAAAAACAGAAAAAAAAAAUGAAGCUUUGAUUUCACAGAGCCACCAACAAUAUCCAACCAAACAAUCAACCAAUCGGAAGAUCUCCGUAAAUUAAAACUUCAGAAAAAAUGGUUAUCUUAAGGAGCAUAGUUAACAGAGAAAACUAACAAACGAAAAAGUCUAACUUCUUGAAGUAUUUCCCAUACAAUCGGUAUCAUUCUUGACCGAAAAAUGGUUAUCUUAAGGAGCAUAGUUACCAGAGAAAACUAACAAAGAAAAACUGAACAAUUCAUAUAAUCUUCUGGAUGACCUGUGACCUUCAAGAUUCAUCAGUUAAAACCGAACAAUUCAAUAAAAGCUUUUGGAUGACCUGUAACCUUCAAGAUCAUCAGUCAAUGCUUUACAUAGAAGGAACCAACAAACCUGUCUAAUGCUUCACCUGUAAAAAAGAGAAGCACCGGGCAUUUUAGGCACUUGUGUUCUAUUAAACAAAUCUCACAGUAUUCCUAUGAGAAAUCAGAAUUUUUCAAUCAACAUAACAAACU
rnacentral:lncRNA from 1 species